rnacentral:sRNA from 1 species
AAUUAUGCGUUAGGGAUAGCAGUGAAAAUCCCGCAGUCCAAAUUUUAUUUGGACGAGGAAUUGUAACGAAUAGCCCGCUCGAAC